rfam:Leptomonas pyrrhocoris LpyrH10_19, whole genome shotgun sequence.
UGUGCGCUGCACCUUCCGGGCAGGAUGACGCCGUGACUGCGGUGGCGCUGUGUCCAAUCGGUGGUGCGAGAC